rnacentral:rRNA from 1 species
AUGGUCUUCACCCUUUGGAUGCUUCCGCAUGAGGUGCAUUUUGAUGAACUUGCUGAGGACGAUAUAAUAUGAAAACACUUAGACUCUCGGCAUUACUCUGCGGCCUCUGUUUACAAGACACAACUUUUGGGCUUGGUCCUCUCCCCCAUGAACCAAAUGGUUUGGAAGCCUUGGUCCUCACCGAAGGUGAUGUUUUUUGCUUGGCUCACGCUGCAAGAUAGAAUUUGGACCGCCGACAGGCUGGCUAAGCGAGGUUGGCCAAAUUGUGGCCCUUGCCCCUUGUGCAGGGGAGUGCAAGAAUGUGAAACCAAUCUAUUCUUCAGGUGCCGCUUCAAGCUGAGGCUUUGGAAUUUGGUUAUUCAGAAAUUUCACAUACACGACAUGGACACGUCUGCUUGGAGCUCACUAGUAGAAAAAGAGGCUUCCGUCCAGCCCCAUUAG